rnacentral:ncRNA from 1 species
CCCGUCCAACUUAAGCAUAUCACUAAGCGGAGGAAAAGGAACCAGCCGGGAUUCCCUAAGUAACGGCAAAUGAACCGGGA